AGACUUUAUCCCCAUAGGAUCGACCUACGAUCAUGCUCAAGUUCCAGCCUUCCCAAACCUUUUUCUUCUCAAGCCACUAUUCUGUCAAUCAUUUCCUUUACUGUCAAAUGUUUGGAAAAGGUGGUUUGUACUUGCUGGUCUCACUUCACCACAUUUACCAAUCAACCUCUAUGUUCUGGUGACCACAUUCACCUAUUCAAACAAAUUGUUUCUCAAAGGUCACCCGCAGACAGAUUCAGGACUCUCUUCUCAGACCACAUCCUGCUUGGGCAUUCUGUAACGGUUGAUCUGAUGGGCAAGUCUAAGACCGCAGAAGUGGAAGACUUGGUUCAAAUUGUGGGUCCUGCAGGAGCAUGGUGACUUACAUUUCCUAGGGCUUCCCAGGGAGAUGGGACUCUGCAGGGCCUUUUACAUGAGAGCUUUGGUGGGCCUGAGUUUUGAGCUCCUGAAGAAUUUGUUGACAAACGAAGUCCGGGGUUUGGUUUCUCCAUCUGAGGAAUUUUUCUUCCUUCUUUGACUCAUGGUCAAGUUGAAAGUGGUCUUUCUCAAUAAGACAUCUUCCUGUUGUUUUCAGUUUCUGGGAUCACCGAGAAGCAAAAGACUCUGUCAAGACCGUGUGAAGUCAGAAUUUCCUUACAUGAGCUUUUAUUUCCCCCCUUUCUUUGUUUUUAUUACUGGUAAUGUUUAAUGUAAAAAUAAGAAUGAUGUAACCCAGGAUCCGGGAACCAACAGAUGGUGGCAGAUACACAUCUAAAGCAAACUUGGGUUUUUAACUUUGCCCCACUUUAUUGUGUGAAAUACAGGUCG